rnacentral:misc_RNA from 1 species
UGUGGGAGGGGGCUUGCUCCCGAUAGCGGUAUGUCAGCCAAUGCAUGAGCAAGCUGAUCCACCACCAUCGGGAGCAAGCCCCCUCCCACA